rnacentral:rRNA from 1 species
AUACGUAGGGAGCGAGCGUUGUCCGGAAUUACUGGGUGUAAAGGGAGCGUAGGCGGGAGUGCAAGUCAGAUGUGAAAUGCAUGGGCUUAACCCAUGAGCUGCAUUUGAAACUGCAUUUCUUGAGUGAAGUAGAGGUAAGCGGAAUUCCUGGUGUAGCGGUGAAAUGCGUAGAUAUCAGGAGGAACACCGGUGGCGUAGGCGGCUUACUGGGCUUUUACUGACGCUGAGGCUCGAAAGCGUGGGGAGCAAACAGGAUUAGAUACCCUGGUAGUCCACGCUGUAAACGAUGAUUACUAGGUGUGGGGGGACUGACCCCUUCCGUGCCGCAGUUAACACAAUAAGUAAUCCACCUGGGGAGUACGGCCGCAAGGUUGAAACUCAAAUGAAUUGACGGGG